CACGUAGUUAGCCGUGGCUUAUUCAAGGGGUACCGUCUUCCGCUCUUCCCCCCUUAAAAGAAGUUUACAACCCGAAAGCCUUCUUCCUUCACGCGGCGUUGCUGGGUCAGACUUGCGUCCACUUGUCCCAACUAAUUCCCCUACCCUGCUGCCUCCCCCGUAGGAGUCUGGGCCGUAUCUCAGUCCCAAUGUGGCCGGCCAACCUCUCAGUCCGGCUACUGAUCGUCGCCUUGGUGGGCCGUUACCUCACCAACUAGCUAAUCAGACGCGAGGCCAUCUUCCAGCGAUAAAUCUUUGACGUCAGAGUCAUGCGGCUCCAACGCAUCAUGCGGUAUUAGCAGUCGUUUCCAACUGUUGUCCCCCUCUGGAAGGCAGGUUCCUCACGCGUUACUCACCAGUCCGCCACUAAGCAUUCCCAUCCGUUGUCCGAAAACUCCUUCGAGGGGUGCUCCGUUCGACUUUGCAUGUGUUAGCACGCCGCACGUCGUUCGUCCUGACGUCCGAGGACUACAAACGUUACCUCUACGAGUACUACC
rnacentral:rRNA from 1 species